rnacentral:lncRNA from 1 species
UAUCCUUUGGAUUACUCUCCGUCUUUUUUUUGCACAAGCGAAUGUCCAAUCCGGUUUAUUUUAUUUCAAUGAUAGCUAGUAUUGUAGUUAAUAAAAUAAAAUUCACUCUUCUGGUUGCCAACUAUAUAAAGUUCGAGUAAAAAUUUUUUUAAGAUUAGUAAUUAUUAAUUAGCAUCACAUACUAGGACUAUAUAAACUAAAAGGUAUCAUUGAGCGCGAAGUUUUUAUGGACGAUGUUGUUAUUGUUAUUGUCUACUGGAGAAGACGUCAGCUGUUGUGCGUUUAUUUAUCAAUGUGACUAUAUAGACAGGUUCUACUAACUCAUUAGUCAUUACAUUAGUAAUGGCUAAUGACUGAUGAGUUAGUAGAACCUGGGACUACAUAAAGGGGGACUUACCACUUCAUUUUGACUAACCAAACCUAUAGAUGCUAGUAGUUACAAUUUUGAAUUCCUUCACUCAUCCAGGGAACACUGAAAUUUUCAGUGAUCCCUGACUCAGCAGUCAUGAAGAAGGGAAGUAAGAAGGUGGAACUGCGUGGAAAGACAUUUUAUUCAUGGUCAUUUGGAUGGAUCUCUCCUACGUAGCAAUCGGAUGUAUGGAUCUGCAUCUAAUCAUUCCUCAGUUCCUAGGAAUAUCCAAUUCACACGCAUUUUUAUACUCUCUUCAAUGUUAUGGUAUAUUCAACGGAUCUCGACUCUUAAGAUGAGAUCCCUUAAACAAGUGCUUCACACCCUGGAUCCAUCCCCUUUAAUGGAAGGAUGGUGAUUGUGCCAGUGCCUCUUCAUGUCAACGUCUGUGAUAGUGACUUCUGAUCUCGUUAAUCAUUUUCCCUAUAUAUAAAUUCCUCCAGAUUUUCUACGGAAUCAUCGUAUACUUCUACACAUAAGAAUUAAGGAGUUCCAUAAAACGACAAAAAUACCCAAUGAGGAACAGAAAGAGUUCUCACCCACCUUCCAUAGCUCCUUCUUUGUAAUUCUUGAAAGCCAACUCUGCUUCGUCUCCUACUCUAAGAAAACUAUUUCAUUAAUAAGAGUCGUUCAGUGUUAAUGAUGUAUGUAACUGAGAAAUCACUUAUCUCAAUCACAUUUAUAAGUUGGACUUACUGAUAUACGGUCUUCACGGAUAAUUAUAUAACCUGCACUCUUCAAUUUCACGCCUGAUUUCUUUAUUACUACUAAGUCUCUUUUGUCAUUGGAAAACAAGUGCAAGAUGAUUCUAAACUCCUAAAGAUAAUGUGCUUCUCUUUUUUAAUAUUUUGGUCUUCAAUGCAUAUUAUAUUCUGAUAUUACAUAUAAAUAGUUAUUUAGAACUGUAGAGUUCCACAAGAAGAAAUAAUUCCCUAAUGAGUUACCCAGUGAGGACUUCUUUGUAAAGUCGACUUUUUCCGUCUCUUGUUCGGAGAAAAAUAUUUCACUGUUAAGAAUCCUUCAGUUUCCUUGAUGUAUUUAAUGCAGAAAUCUCUUGGAAAAAAGUAGAAGUCAAUAUUAGACUCUUAAUGAAUAUGCAGCCUUUUUUUCUUGAUACUUUUGUCUGCAAUGCAUAUUAUAUUUUGCUGUUAUCUGCAUAAAUAGAUUUUGUGAAUUGUUGAGUGCCAAGUGGUUACUUGAUAACAAAUUUUAAGUGACUUCAUAACUUGUGUGGGCUUAUAUUAGAAAACCUGUGGUAUAAUUAUAUUUUCGAAGCUUAGUUAUUCUUAACCAUCUUCUAAAAAAACUUAUUUGCUUAUCACUAUAUUGGAAUAUUACCCCUAUGAAGAUUAAGGAUCUCCACACCAACAAAUGCAUUCAUAUACAUUCAUGCUUAUUAUUUGAUUUUCAUUUAAUAUUCUCAGGUUUCUAGUAUAAAUUCAUUUAUUAAAAAUAUAUACGUAAUAUUAACAUAAUGAUAUAUGUUCUCUUUAUUAAAAUAAGAGUAUUGAAAAAUGUUCAUAAAUAACAAUAAAUCCCUUCAAUGCUACGAUAUAACUACAAAAUACUAUUCAUACUUCUUUAAUUUUCUUCCAUACCUACUAAAAUAUAGUAUUAAAAUAAGAUGUAAAUCCAUCCUUUAUAUUAUCAUAUUAUCCCAAGUAUAUACAAGGAAGACUAAAAACUGUUUCUAGUCUUCCUUGGUAUAUUUAUCCCUAAUGUUACUGCCUUGAUAAAUAUCCCGACAACAGUUGACGUCUUCUCCAGUCAAUAAUAAUAACAAUAAAAACCUCGCGCACAAUGAUCCUCUUCAGUUUAUAUAGUACAGUCAGUAAUGCUAAUAGUAUGCAUUUUGUUUAGUUGGCAAACAGAAGAGUGAAUUUUCCUUUACAACAUAUGAUACAAGCAUCAUCAUUGUUAGCUUGUGCUCAAACAAGAGGGAGAGUAAUCCAAAGAAUAUUGAUUUAGAGUGGAAUUGAGGAUCGGUAUCGGAGUAAUUCUUACCUUCUAUAUUUCCUUCUUCUCCCCAGUCAAAAAUUCUUCAUAAUUUUAGUUUUGUGUUCCUCAUGAGAAGAUAAAAAACAAAAACAAUGUAGUGACUGCCUUAGUUCUUGUACAAGCUCUAGAGAAUUGAAGAGGCAUGUUGAAGGUGUUCAUGAGAAGAAAAGAAAAAGUAAAAUGUAGUGACAGCCUUAGUUCUUUUACAAGUUCUGAGGACUCGAAGAACAAUAUUGAAACUGUUCAUAAGAUGAUAAAAAAAUUCCAAUGUUGUUCCUGUUUUAGUACUUUUGCAAAAUUAUUUGACUUAGAGAUGCAUUAUAAGACUCAUCAUAAGUAGAGAUUGAAGGGAUAUAUAACAAAAUAUACGUGCGACUUUUUCAAGUUAGUAAAAUAUAUUUAAUAAUACGACUGAGUAAGAAAAUAUAAUUUUUUUUUGUUUCUAAUUUAUAGUUACUUAGUAUUUAAAAUUCACUAAUAAUUUCCUUUUUUGUUUCAAUGAGGGUAUGGUUUGUCCAGAGUUCAAAGUGGACGUUGCUAUUGUGUUUAUUAUUUCCAAUGGUCAGAAUAUAUUCUUAACUGUAAAAUAUAUUAUUAUUAAUUUUGAA